AUUGAACGCUGGCGGCAUGCCUUACACAUGCAAGUCGAACGGUAACAGGUCUUCGGAUGCUGACGAGUGGCGAACGGGUGAGUAAUACAUCGGAACGUGCCUAGUAGUGGGGGAUAACUACUCGAAAGAGUGGCUAAUACCGCAUGAGAUCUACGGAUGGAAGCAGGGGAUCGCAAGACCUUGUGCUACUAGAGCGGCCGAUGGCAGAUUAGGUAGUUGGUGGGAUAAAAGCUUACCAAGCCGACGAUCGGUAGCUGGUCUGAGAGGACGAUCAGCCACACUGGGACUGAGACACGGCCCAGACUCCUACGGGAGGCAGCAGUGGGGAAUUUUGGACAAUGGGCGAAAGCCUGAUCCAGCAAUGCCGCGUGCAGGAUGAAGGCCUUCGGGUUGUAAACUGCUUUUGUACGGAACGAAAAGCCCCGGGUUAAUACCCAGGGGUCAUGACGGUACCGUAAGAAUAAGCACCGGCUAACUACGUGCCAGCCGCCGCAGUAA
rnacentral:rRNA from 1 species